rnacentral:rRNA from 1 species
UACGGGGGGAGCAAGCGUUGUUCGGAUUUACUGGGCGUAAAGGGCGCGUAGGCGGCCACCGCAAGUCGGUUGUGAAAUCUCCGGGCUUAACCCGGAAAGGUCAAUCGAUACUGCGGGGCUAGAGUGCAGAAGGGGCAACUGGAAUUCUCGGUGUGGCGGUGAAAUGCGUAGAUAUCGAGAGGAACACCUGCGGCGAAGGCGGGUUGCUGGGCUGACACUGACGCUGAAGCGCGAAAGCUAGGGGAGCGAACGGG